AACAUAUUUUUAGCCAGAAAGGGCAGAAACUGUAUUUACUGUCUUAGAAAGUAGUUGCCAUACCUUUUUCAAUUGUACAUUUGUCUGUUUUCUUACUGAAGAACCUCUACUCUGAAAUGAUUUUUCCUACCAUGUUUUAUUUCAAAAAGGAUCCAUAUAGUGGGAAUGAAAAUAAUUCAGGCUCCUUUUCAUGUUGGACGUUACAAAAUGAUGGAUUAUGGAGAAGCGGCUAGCCCUUUACUGAACCUGAAAAGGCCUGCUGAAUUGUAUACUUCCCAAACAUGGAAAGAUGAUGGAACAAAUUCCCUUGUCUUCACACUUUUGGAAAAGAAGAAAAAAUCUCUUUAUACACACAUUAUAGUAGACGUUGGAGCUACACCACAACUACCACCUCCAGGCAGAAGAAAAAGGAAUAACAUAUAACUUGGAUAUCAUCUGAAGCUUUCAAAUCUUGGAGCUAUUUACAAGCUAAACUCACCAGGAAAGCAAAGAGGGUAAAGGUAUUUAAGAGUACAUUCCUUGAGCGCAUUUGACCAAAUAAAGCAGGAGCCUAAUACAGGGUACUAAAGAAGCCGCAUCUGGGGUAUAAUGGUUUCUCUUCAUUGAUAUUAGCAACACAGAAAAUACAUAUCCUAUCUUGUUCUGCAGUAAACCUUCAGGCGCUAGAAGGUAGUAAUAGUUCUCCUAUAGGGCUUGCGAAGUACCAGCAACUGAUUACUCUAUAAACAAUUGCAAAAUAUCUACUGAACCCUGUGCUUUUUUCUAAUUUGCACAAGUCUUCUGCAUAGCAAAUGUUCAUUCAAACAAAAGUUACAUUAAUGUGGGUAUUUAUUACUAAUUUUCUCAAUAAUUAUCUGAAUAUGAAUGUAUCAAACUCUUCUAAAUAACAUGAGACUCCAAUGAAACACGUUGACUAGAAAAGCAGGCAAUCAGUUCAUCUGAAUACUUACAUAAGAUAAAUGUUUAUUAAUGGUAUUAGUUAUUAAAAUUCACUAAAAUGUAUUUUCAAAGUAACACUCUGUAGGAGUUGGCCUACAAAUCUCCUUUUGAAAGAUUCUUCACUAGAAAUUCAGUUUUCUAUACCUGUAUUUUAAGACAGCUAAUUUUAAAUUGUAUUUCAGAGUGUUACUUUUAAAAUACAUUUUAGUGAAUUUUAAUAACUAAUACCAUUAAUAAACAUUUAUGUAAGUAUUCAGAUGAACUGAUUGCCUGAUUUUCUAGUCAACGUGUUUCAUUGGAGUCUCAUGUUAUUUAGAAGAGUUUGAUACAUUUGUGGAGACUCAAACUGAUGAGAUGGAGCAGCUGUUCAUGUAUUUGCCAUAUUAUAAAUCUGGAAGUGAAUGGAUGUGGAGACUUACCCUGUGCUAUAUCCCAGCUCAUUGAAUCAUAACAGACUUAGUUUGGAAAGGCAGAGUAGUAAAUCUAAAUAUUUAAGGCUGCUGUUUAUUAAAAGCAACAAAGCACCAAUCUUGAAUCUAUUCCCCUCUGCCCAUUUGUAAAUCAGUGGGGAAAAUAAGUAGAAUUGUUUGGCUUGCAAACCUAUGAUGUGGCUUGCUGGUAGCCACAUUGAAAAUACAAAAAUAAUUUCACUUUGAGUAGCUAUACCACAAUUUAUUUUCCUGGUUCUUUUUUUAAAAUAAUACUGAAGUUUCACAUUGCUCCACAGGACUGAGUAUAUGCUUAGUACUAAUAUCUGAAAUUCAUUAGCUACACUAAGCAUCACUGUAUUUUUAGACCAUCCUGCAUUCUUUCCUUGCAAAGGUGUAUGCUAUCAUUUUAAUAACAAUUUAUAUACUUGUGUACUCUCUGCAAAUAAGUUUGGCUGUUCUCCUUUGAAAAAUAAAAUGAAAACCACACUGAUCAAUUUAUUUUAGUAGUAAAUUCUCACACAUUAUUAAACUAACACAGAUAUUGGGAUAAAUAUAACAGAAGAUCAACAGCUAUUACAUUUUAUUCAAACUUUUAUUUUUUUCUUGUUCUAAGAAAGAGGAAUUACGUGCCAUCCCUCUUCAAAAUACUAUUAUGAUGAGCACUUAUUCAACUGACUGGAGAAAAAACAUUUUGAAAAGUUGGGUACUGAAAAAAAAAUGUCUUGUUUCUUUGAAAAGGUAACAGCUGAAUUGUUCUUGUAUCUUUUAACUUCAAAAAGUAGUAGAAUUCUUUACAAAGGAUUAUUUUUAUAAAAAAAAAAAAAAAAUUCCAGCUAAUCAAUGUUGUCCGGUAGUUCAAACGGAAAUAACUAGCAAAUCUAUCAGUGUUUUAAAAACAUUGCCUCUGUAAGGAACUUGUUGAGGCUCCACCGACAGGAAACGGAAUAUUUCACAGCUGUAGCUCAGUCAUCACUUUUUUUUUUUUUUUUGGUCCAUUCUAAUAAAAUUUAUUAGGCA